GGCAACCCACUCGGGUUCUCUUGAGCGCUGUAGGAAUCAUCGUGAAGGUCUGCAGCUUCACUCCUGAGCCAGCGAGACCACGAACCCACCAGAAGGAAGAAACUCCGGACACAUCUGAACAUCAGAAGGUACAAACUGCAGAGGCGCCACCUUAAGAGCUGUAACACUCACUGCGAGGGUUCGCGAUUUCUUUCUUGAAGUUAGUGUAGACCAAGAACCCACCAGUUCCAGACACACAGGGGGCUGGGAAACUGUUCCAGGGUGAACGCAGUACCAGGUCCUCUAGGCUCAUUCCUUAUUGUGUCUGGGUGCCCUGGUCCCUGGCUAAACAGUGGCCUGGAGGCACUUGCUGCGCUUGGAGCCUUCUCUUGUGGGUGCCCAGAGGAGCCAAAGCGGGUGCUACCUUCUCUGGGGGCUGAGGAGGCUCGGAAUUCAGCCAGACUUCAGGUCCCUGCUCCCCAGGCUUCGCAGACGAGGGGGCAUAUUUAAAGCAGACAGGAGACAGGUCCUAGCUUAGAGCGGCUGUCUAAGACUCCUUGCUGGACUUGAUGUUAUCCCUUUUUCUGUUGGACUGUGGGAAGAGUCAGGGGACCUUCCUGCCGCUGAGCUGGAGUGGUGAUGGGGCUUUAGGGGGUUGGGGCAAGUAGUAAAUAGGGGGAGUUUGCUGAUAUCCUGGUGUUAUUUUAGUAUUUUAGCAUCUACAUGGCUGUGCUGGACUCAUGGGCUCGUGGCCCUAGCUGCUUAGGAUCAGGCCCAGGCUCUGCACUGCGGGGAGGUGGGGAGGUGGGGAGGUCUGGGCAGCAGCAGCACGGUGCGGCGUCAAGUAGCUCGCACAAGAAGGACUCAAGGCCCAGCGUGGAGACCCAGGGCCCUCACUGCAGGCAGGCUGAGAGCAUGGGCUCUGGAGACAGCUCACCUUCAAAUCGGGUUGCAUCCUGGCUGCUGUGACCGGGCCUGGGUGGUUAAUCUUACAGGGCCUCAGCGUCUGCACCUGUAAUCCUGGGAGAACAGUGUUAUUUUCCUGAUGAGAGAACAGAGCCUGGCACAUGCUAGCACCAUGUGGGGCGAACCCUCAUUACUGUGGUCCUCCAGGGUAUACGCAUCCUCAGCAAGGCCUGGCUAAUGCUUGGUGAUCUGGCCGGAGGUGGAGCCCAUAUGCCUGCCCUCCCUGGACCAGGACAGGCUGGCAGUGACACCUCUGUGGUCCCCCUGGCUUCAUCUGGGGCCACCUCUUUCCACAUUGUGUUAGGCUCCUGCUGACCCGUACUACAGGGCAUCUUCACCUUCUUUGGACCCCAUCCCACAUCGCUCUGCCCCAAUCCUGGAGUGCUUGUUGUCUCCUUCACUUUCUCAGCCCUGCUCUGACAGUGGAAGCAAAUACUAAUCAGAUAAAAGAAUCCCUACCCAGUUAUACUGAUUUAGUACUUCCCAAACGUGGGACUACAGAUAUAUGGUGGGGAGGAUGGUUCUUAGAGGUCUCUGGAAGAAUUUAAACCAUUUUGUUUUCAUUUCAUUUAUUACUAAUUUUUGAGACAGGGUUUCACUCCUGUCUCCCAGGCUGGAGUGCAGUGGCACGAUCUUGACUCACUACGACCUCUGCCUCACAGGUUCAAGUGAUUGUCCUGCCUCAGCCUCCUGAGUAGCUGGGAUUACAGGCAUGCGCCACCACGCCCGGCUAAUUUUUGUAUUUUUAGUAGAGAUGGGGUCUCACCAUGUUGGCCAGGCUGGUCUCAAACUCCUGACCUCAAGUGAUCUGCCCACCUUGGCCUCCAAAAGUGCUGGGAUUACAGGCGUGAGCCACGUGCCCCGCCUAUGUUUUCAUUUUAAUGAACAUCUUUUAAAAUCAAUUUAAAGAAAUCCUGGAGCAUUCGGAAGAGAGGGAGGGAAGAGGGACCCACGACUUAGGAUUGUAUCAGUGCCAAGGGGUCAGUGCUGCUUGACCCCAGGAGGAUGGGGGAAACGUGCUGACGGUUGUCACAGGGCCUGAGUGGCAAGCAGAAGGGAGCUAAAGCACUGCUUGGCACCCAGGACAGGCGCUGAGCUCCGAAGAACCUGGGUCCUGGCAGCCGCUCCUUCCUCCCAUGAGACAGCCUAUUUGGUGUCUGCAGAACAUCAUCCACUACUUUAAAUGAAUGCUGUUCAUUUGAGUUUUAUUGGUUUUGUAGUUUUGUUUAGCCUUGAUUGGUAAAUGUGUCUUGAUUUUAUACUUGAAAGGAGAAAUAAUUACAAAGAGUUUAUACCUAGCCUUAUGAAUAAUAAAAUUGACUCGAAGCAGCCCUGGAAGGCCUGGAGGAGUAUUGGCCCCUAGACAGUCUGUACAUUAUAGGUGUUUGGGAACCCAGCUGUUGAUGACCUAGACCUGUGGGUAAACAAGGCUGCCUAUGAGAUGGGCCUGUGCAAAGAAGCCACCUUCUACCGAGGCUUACUGGGCACCAGGCUCUGGGCCUGUUGCUUUGUUGCAUUAUUUUUUUUUUUCAUUUAGUCUCCCGACAAUCCUAUGGAGUGGCAUUUAUCUCAUUUUUCAGCUGAGGAUCCUGAGGCCCAGACACGUUAGGUAACUUGCCUAAGAUCACAGAGCAGGGAAUUGGAUCUGCUAAAACUUUAUUGACGGCAUAUGUUAAAGACAGUAAGAAAGACUUUAUUUGAGGUGGGGGGCAGUGUUGGACAGGGACCGCUGCAGCUGGGAAGAGAGAUUGGGGUCCCCUCUGAAUACAGUACAGGCAAGUGGGAAUUGAUGGCCAAGGAGCAGGGUGGGCUCAGUGGAUGGAAAACCUCUUAAGAGGAAACACCUGGGGGGAUUCUUGCUGAAGGCAGGCCAGGUGAUCAGACGUCCCCUGGAGGCCGUGGGGCAUGAAGACCACGAUCAGACAGGAAGGGCAAUCAGAUGUGGAGGGCGGAGGAUUCCAGCAAGACCAAUUUAGCAGGACUCUUGCUAAAACCGAACAAUCCAGAGACAAACACGGAAGCCCAAAGCCCAGGCCUAACUGGAAGGCUCAGGGCGGCCUGAGGAGAGAUGGGUCAAGGCGGGGAUCAUUGUCAGAACUCAGAUUCUAGCCCGACUCUGAAGGCCGAGCCUGUCACCACCUCAUGCAAUGGCUUUCCCUGCGGUCUCCCAAGGGGCUUUGCGCCAGUAUGAGCUUAUGUAGUUCUUCCCGCUGCCCAGUGAUUAAGGCCUAGUCCUGCACCCAGUUGAUAGCUAGGGCAGUGAGGCUCAGACACAGCCUGUGGCUUAAGAUGAGGGUCAGAGAACCUCCUGUGAGCUCCGUGAGGACAAGGGUGUGCCGCUUCCUUCUGCCACCCGCAUCCCCUUCCCUGAUGGGCUGGUCACCGUGAAGGGCCCCCUCCCCACACUGCACGUGUAACUCGUGUUGUUACAUAUGUAAGUAUGAUUACACGUGUAAUCACACAUGUGACUCGGUUAGUGUCUGUCUCUCACCACUAGAGGUCAGUCCCGUGAGGGCGGGCACAUUCAUUCGAGCGACCACAGCUGUACUGCCGACAUCAAGCAUAGCCCCCCAGCUCAUCACGGGGCCUCAUGACGUAUUUGUUGAAUGCCUGAAUGUGCCCCCAAAUCCAGACUACGACCAGCCACAUCGGGGGUGGCCUACAAAUGUUUGUGCCAGGAAGGAAGGGAAGAAGGACUCCUCUUGUUUUAUGCAACCAACACCCACCCUGGGGCACUUGCCUUAAGGGAUUAAUCUGAGAUCAUUAGCAGAGAAAGGGAAGGUCAAGUCCACUCAAGAAGGCGGUUGCCGGAGUUUUCCUGCUCCACCCUGGGGAGGGACCCCUGGCCCCGCAGACCUGGUCCCUGGUGGUCCCGGCCCCAGCCUUGACCUGAGGGCCACUCAGCGGCCCUGCUCAUCAAACCGCUCUGAUGGAGCCUGCCUGCCCUUUGAGCCCCUCCUCAGUCAGCCUCCCAGUGGGGGCCUGGCCCCACCCUCUGCUCACCCCAGAACCAGAGCCCUGGUUUGACUCCGCCCCUGCUGUGGGGCUCACGAGCAUGCCUUGAACACAGGCUGCCUGUGCCCCCUGGAGCGCCCCGCCCCAGCUCGUUCUCUGCCCUCAAGCGAGGAGUAGGUGGGCGCAGUGAGCGGUGGGGUGGACGCGUGCUCUCCUACCAGACCCUGCUUGUAACCUGGAGUGGGUCAGUUGGCUUCUCUUUGCUUCUGUCUGUCCGUCUGUAAACCAGGGCAAUAUCUGCUUUCUAGGGUUUUUGUGAAAUUUGACAAAGCAAUGCAGGACUCGUUUCUAUUUCCCAAGGAGGUAGACGUGGUGUCCAGAGGACGACAAAGAUGGCAGCUCACCAUGCACGUGGACCAGAGCCCACUCCAUGGCUGGGCGAGCUGGGCAGUGGGUGACUGGCAGGAAAUGGUCAGCUUGGAGGAACGGUGCCCUCGAGGUGGUCAGUAACGGGAGGGCUGAAGAGAACAGCGGCCAGUUACUAAGAGCACACGGUGGGCCGGCCGCCGCGCUGCAUGCAUUACAUUUCAUCUUCAGGACCGCCACGUGAGGGAGGUGGCGUCAUUGUUCCCUCACAGCUGAGAUAGCUGAGGCUGCAAAACAAGGAAAACCCACCCUUUUCAUGCAGCCAGUAGGUGACAGAGCUGGGAGCCUGGAUCGGGUCUGGUUCUGGAGCCCGGGCCCUUCCUUCGGUCUGGGUGUGUCUGUGCCCAUGCCACUGUCCAUCCCUGGCCAUCCAGGCCCGUGAAACACAAGGUCCCUCCCCCUAGGCCAGGGCGUGGCGGGGUAGGGUGGGGCUGGUCCAGUGGACAGAGCUCUUGCAUCGUUUCCUUGACGGGGUGCUUUGGGGACUGCUGCUUCCCAUAUUGCCAACUGCCUUAUGUCCUUUACAGUCCUGCGGUCAGCAUGGCCCCGAGCCAGCUCACCAGGGUAAUAAACUGCCACAAGCCCCUUCUCUGUAACAGCUGACGCUGGCCUUGUUGCACAGAUGGAGCUCAGAGUGAGCUCAAAACCAAUUCCCCAGACAGUGUCUGAACACGUCUUUGUUCUUCUCUGGGCAGAUCUGCUUGGCCAGACACAUUCUGCUUUGGCUGAACGGCCUGGAGAGGGCUCCAAUUCCUGCUGGGGAGAGCUGAGGGAGCAGGUUUGAGUUCAGAUGUGGAAGAAUCCAAGUGCCGUCUCAGGGUCACCCUGGGCAAGGACAGGGUGAUGCUGGGCGACAUGAAUGUUUUCGCCUUGGGAUCUGGGCUGCCUGGGAUCACAGCCCUCAUUCCGGAACGCCACUGACAUUACGAGCGUGCCUUGCACACUGGCUGCCUGCAGCUGUCUAUUAAUUCAGACCAUCCUGCUAGGACUUUCUGAGAGUGUUAGUUUCUGUUCCUUUGCCUUCAGGGUUCUGCUACUAACACCAUGUCUAUAUCUUAGGGAGGGAAGGAUUAAAAAGUCGAAAUGUUGAAAAGCCCUGCAGGAUGGGGAAGGUGGCUAAGGAAAGCUGUUGAUAGCAGGGUUGGGGGCCUUGGCUGUGCCGAUUCAGAAGGUGGUGGUUUCCCAGGGGACAAUGGGAACUUCCACGGAAUGAGGUCUGUAGACUCCUGGUUAGAGGGUUUGGGGGGCAGGGGUCUUCCCAUUGCAGCAAGCUUCUUUCCAUUGUUUCAAGGGUUUGGUAAGUAAGGCCAAUCAGACCAAAGAGAUGUGAUUUCUGGACCAUACCUGAGAUUUGCACACAGGAAAGUGCAGUCCCUGCCCUUGUGUGUCUUGUCUGCUGGGAGACACAGGUAUGCGAGGGCGGAGGGUGGACUGUUUCUUCAAGAUGCCCUCUCCCCAGUUCUGGCUGGUCAGCCUGGGAGUAUGUCAGGGCAGGGGUGGCGUGGCAUGCAGGAGCUGCCCCAUGGACAUUGCCUUAAUGAACGAAACUGUUAGUUGUUUUUUUUUUUUUUUUGAGACGGUGUCUUGCUCUGUCGCCCAGGCUGGAGGCUGGAGUGCAGUGGUGCGAUCUCUGCUUGCUGCAAGUUCUGCCUCCCGGGUUCACGCCACUCUCUUGCCUCAGCCUCCCGAGUAGCUGGGACUACAGGCGCCCACCACCACGCCUGGCUAAUUUUUUGUAUUUUUAGUAGAGAUGGGGUUUCACCGUGUUAGCCAGGAUGGUCUCGAUCUCCUGACUUAGUGAUCUGCCCGCUUUGGCCUCCCAAAGUGCUGGGAUUACAGGCGUGAGCCACCGCUCCCGGCCGAAACUGUUUAAUAUUGAGUGCCAACUUGAUUGGAUUGGAGGAUGCAAAGUAUCGUUCCUGGGUGUGUCUGUGAGGCUGUCGCCAAAGGAAAUUAACAUUUGAGUCAGUGAACUGGGAGACAGAGACCCACGCUUAACCUGGGUGGGCACCAUCUAAUCACCUGCCAGCGAGGCUAGGAUAAAAGCGGGCAGAGGAAUGUGGAAGGGCUAGACUGGACGAGUCUUCUGGCCUUCAUCUUUUUCUCAUGCUGGCUGUUUUUUACCCUCAAACAUUGGACUCCAAGUUCUUCAGCUUUUGGACUCUUGGACUUACACUGGUGGUUUGCCAGGGGCUCUCGGGCCUUCAGUGUCCCAAACCUGCUCCUCCCAUGAUCUUUCCAGUCAUGGUAAAUGGCACCACCAUUUCCCCAGGUGCUCAGACCCCUGGGGAAGACAUCGUGGUCUCCUGUCAAGCUCGCUCUCUCCCCAAGCCCUGUCAGCCCCACCUUCUUAUUAGACCCCAAAGGCCAUCAUUUCUUUUCUUAAAAUUAUGAUUAUACUUUCAGUUAUGGGGUACACGUGCAGAACGCACAAGUUUGUUACAUAGGUAUACACGUGCCAUGGUGGUUUGCUGCACCUAUGAACCCGUCAUCAUCUACAUUGGGUAUUUCUCCUGAUGCUCUCCCUCCCCCAGCCCCCCACCCACUGACAGGCCCCAGUGUGUGAUGUUCCCUUCCCUGUGUCCAUGUGUUCUCAUUGUUCAACUCCCACUUACGAGUGAGAACAUGCGGUGUUUGGUUUUCUGUUCUUGUGUUAGUUUGCUGAGAAUGAUGGUUUCCAGCUUCAUCCAUGUCCCUGCAAAGGACAUGAACUCAUCCCUUUUUAUGGCUGCAUAGUACUCCAUGGCGUAUAUGUGCCACAUUUUCUUUAUCCAGUCUAUCAUUGAGCCCAUUAUUUCUGAUAAUCGCUGCAUUGCCACUGCCUCAGACUGGCUCCUGACUUCCUCUUUCUUCCCCAGCGGCCCCAAGUCACCUCCAUAUAGUAACUAGAACAAUUCCUUUAAUACCCAAGCCAAGGCAGGCCCAGUGGCUCACACCUGUUAUCCCAGCACUUUGGGAGGCUGAAACAGACGUCUCGCUUGAGCCCAGGAGUUCAAGAUCAGCCUGGGAAAACAGCAAGAUCCUGUCUCUCCAAAAAAAUUUAACAAUUAGCCGGGUGUGACGGCAGGCACCUGUAAUCCCAGCUACUUGAGUGGCUGAAGUGGGAGGAUUGCUUGAGCCCAGGAAGUGGAGGCUGCAGUGAGCUGUGAUUGUGCCGCUGCACUCCAGCCUGGGUGACAGAGUGAGACCCUGUCUCUAAAAAAGAACAAUAAAAAGACCCAAGUCGGACACAUCAUUCCUACACUCAAAGCCCGUGAACGGCUUCCUCUGGCAACUGGAGUCAAACAUCAAGUCCUCCCGGAGCCGGAGAGCCCUGCAGUACUUUGGCUGCUCUGUGGCCUCACCUGGGACCCCUGGUCUGUCCACUUGCUACUGUCCAGUGACAGUGGCUUCCCACCAUCCCUUAAACUCCCCCUUUGCUGCUGCUGCUCUAGGGCUGUUACACUGUUUUCUCUGCACAGAAUGCUCUGUCCGGCUCUGCAUGGCUUGUUCCUGAAAUUCAUGCAGGUGAGCUAGUCGGAGGCCUCCCCUUAACCCCACCACAGAUGAAUGCCCCUUCUCACCCUCCUGCAAUCCAAAAUGUGUGUCUCUCGGAACCUCUGGCCCACUUCCCUUUUCUCUGUGGAGCUCGUUACCAUGGGACCCUGGGUUUUGUAACUGUGGUUUAUUGCCUUGUCUUUCCAAUAAGAAUGCACAGCAGUCUGUCUGGGUCAUUGCGGUAGCCCCUCACACCCCCCUGAACAAUGCUGGGUAGACACCCAAUAGAGUUAUCAAAUGGAUAAAUAAAUGCAAUUGCAGAGAGGAGGCGGCCACUUUUGGCGGCCUCCAUGCGUGGUGCCAGGGCCAUGUGCGAGGCCAUUGACGAGUGUUAGCUCACUGGAUUUCCAUACUGACCUCGGGAGGUGGAGACUCACAAAUCCAUUUUACAAAUAAGGAAUCUAAGGCUCAAAAAAUCCCAAGGAGACCACACAGCUCGCGACGGGUUGAGCCAGUUUUGACGCCAAGUUUGCCUGCAGCCCGAGCCCAAGUGCCACCCCUGCUCCAUGCCACUUGCUGGCACAGCUCUGAUGACUGUCUCCUGCCUGGCUCUGACGGGUCUCUGCCCAAGUGUUCUGGUAAUGAUUUUCACCCCCCCGUCUGCCCCCUUCAUCGUGACUCUCAUUCAUUUGUUUUAAAGGCCAUUUCUCUCCUGUCCUAUAGCCUUGCACAUUCUGGUUAGCUAAACAAGAACUCCAGUUCUCGGCAACACAUCAGUGAGACAGGAUGGGGCGGGGAGAGGCGCCCACCUCCGUGUGCUAAUGCAUUUACCUCCAGGCCGCAGGCCUCCGCGGAGCUGGCAGCCAGGAACCUCCAGAGGCUCCCAACCUAGCCCGUCCUGCAAGAUGAAGCUGCUUCUUGGGAAUCUUUUAGCUCAGGAUGCUGUGUUCCAUAUUCACGACGGCAUUUCCAUGCUCGUGAGGGCAACCAGUAGAACUGUUCUCUGUGCCGGACGAGCACCAAUGGCUCCGCUCCUCCUUGCUGCCUCCCUGAGUCGCUCUGUCCCUGGGACUGCUAAGGGCACGGGGCCUGUAGUGACGGUUCCGGCCGCCAGGGAAGAUGCUGGGUACGUUUUGUCCUUUCCAGUCUGGUUCCUGCCUCCCAAACCCAACUCCCGUGUUCUCUCUGGGAGCCCUGCAAGAACAGGGCUUUAGAACGUUCUCCUUUUUUGGCCGGGCACGGUGGUGGCUCACGCCUGUAAUCCCAACACUUUGGGAGGCCAAGGCAGGCGGAUCACGAGGUCAGGAGAUCAAGACCAUACUGGUCAACAUGGUGAAACACCAUCUCUACUAAAAUACAAAAAAUUAGCCAGGCGUGGUGGUGUGUGCCUGUAGUCCCAGCUACUUGGGAGGCUGAGGCAGGAGAAUUGCUUGAACCUGGGAGGCAGGGGCUGCAGUGAGCUGGGAUGGUGCCACUGCACUCCAGCCUGGCGACAGAGCAAGACGCCAGACUCCAUUUCAAAAAUAAAAUAAAGUUCUCCUUUUUCUUCAGCCUUCCUGGUCUGCCUGGGAUUAAUGAACUUGGCCACUCUUGGGACUCCUCCCCUUGCUAGCCUGCAGGUUCACCUCUCCCAAGAGUCCAGGGUCUGUAUCGCCCCUUUCCUUCUCCCCUUAACUGAUUUAUCUUGCUUUGGGAUAAUACCACCCCCUCCCUCCCCACGACCAGACAAGCCAUGUGUGCCCCGCCCUCUCCUAAGCAAUUUACAGGAAUGAACUCCUGACUCUCCAAACAACUGUAUGGGACAGGCACCCCCCCAUCUUCCAGAGAACAGCAUGCAGGCUCAGAGAGGUGAAGUGACUUGCCCAUGGUCACACUGCUGGGGAGGUGGAGAAGCCAGGAUGUAGGCUGGCUUAACUGUGCUGCUAUUCUGCCUCAUGGCAUUUAGUUUGAAGAGAAGGGGCUUCAGGACAAUACUAACCUAGGUGCACAGGUUGUCCUUCCCGUUGCUAAGGAGCCCUAGGCAAGUCAGUUAAUCUCAGAGUCUGUUUCAUCGGCAAAAUGGGCCUGAAUUUCUUCCUGAUUCACUGGGUAGUUUGUACAGAUGAAAUGUGAUCACAGCUGCCAAUAAACCUGGUCCCACAGUGACGUGGACAGCAGCCUCCUGCAGCACCACUGCUCCGCCCGGGCUAUGAGAAGAUGGGCACUGGCAGGGAGGGUGGCAGGCAGUCCCAACAGCUGGGGCUCCAGGCUGAUAGCAGUGGCUGAGAGGGAGUCAUCCCAGAUCUCAGGCUAUCCCACCCAUCUCAUCCCAGAGGGCACCAUAUGUCUCUCCACCACAUAGUCACCUGUCUCCCUGACUGUGUUCCACUGUCACUAGAACAAGAGGAUCUGGGCCUGCCAAGCUCCAAAGACAGCUCAUCGUGAGGAGGAAAAGUGACUUUACAAAAGCAAUGUGUGGUGGCUGUUAAACUGCUGCAUCUUCUAUCCGCCUUCACACCAUUCUCACGCACAUACACAUGCGCACACACAUGCCUACAUGCACACACAUAGGCAUGGGCGCACACACAGGCAUGCGCACACAUGCGUACAUGCACGCACACAGGCACGCACACACACAGGCAUGCAUACACACAUGCGCGCACACACACAUGCGCGCACACACACACACUUGCUGCAGGGGAUCCCACCACCAAAGUCCAUCCUCCACCCGCCUCAAGGGAGCCAAAGUCUGUUCAGAAAACAAACUCCAACACGUCUAAAAGAAAAUAACAAAAAAACCAAACUUUACUUGCAUUUAGCCAUUAAUAAAUAAUUUACAGUAUGUACACGCGGUGACACUCCACACAGGUCGCAGACACGUGGACGCAGUGAGGGGUCCCCACUUCCAAGCAGAACGUGAGCAAACACAACCAAAAUAAAGUGCUUCACUUUUUACUUCCAACAUAGGGACCAACUAAAACCAGCAGGGAGAGGGAGGGGCCGGGCCCCGAGCGCCCUCCCACCCGCCCACACACGGUUCUGGCAGAGGGAGCAGGACCUCUUGGAGGGAGGGGGAGACACACGUUCUGCAGCCUCCUGGCCAGUGUAUGAGAGGUCCCUGGGGAACAGCAGAGGGGCUGCCGAUGGGUGGGUAGGGUGUGGAGCUGUAGGGCUGCUGGCAGGAUCACCCUCCAGGGCCUGGCUGCACUUUUGGGAGUGAAGCCUGGCUUUGUGCUGUGGGCACAGCAGCACAGGUGGGACUGUUCUGGGCCCCUGGAUGAGCACCCUGGGCUGAAAUGAGGCGGGAGCCAGCGGCAAGUCUCUCCUGGCUGUGUGGCCACAGGGCUUAAGGGAAGAGAUUAGAGGUUGAAGACCCUGCCAGGGAUGCUCAGAGCUGAGAGUCCUAAGACCCUGCUCCUCUCCCCAGACUCCAGACGUGGAUGGACCGGGCUGGGGGCUCUUGGGGUUGUGAGGAGGAAGCAGAGGAUCAGGGCAGGCCAGCUGGCCCCAUCCACUGGGUCUCCUGCCACACCCUGGGGCCCAGGCACCCCUGCCCAGGAGCUCUUGCAUCUGCAGGAGAGAGAGGAACAGAAGUCAAGGAUCUCUUCUCUGUUUAGACAUUUAGAACCAAGCACUUCGACUUUCUAAGCACAGGGUGGAAGGGGCAGGGGCCCAGGCCAGAGACGGGCAGCUGAGCAGGUGCCUGAAAACCGGGACCUGCACUGGUACCCACAGCAGCCAGGUGAACAUGGGCAGGGAGGCCACAGGCCAGAAGGCACCAGGCGGGCACGACCUACUGGCCAAAAGGUUCCAGCAGUCUGCUAAGGUGCCAAGCAGCGCCCCGGGGUUGCCCUGCCUGGGGCCAAGCCCCAAGGAUGCCUCCCUGUGUGGCUGGGGUGUCCCCGCUGGCCUAGGGGGAUCGAGUGUGCUCUCGUGUAAGAGUGUGUGCGUGCGUGUGGCGGGCACAGGGGGCCCCACGGAUCGGCGAGCAGCAGUCGGCCGGGCCUUUCAGUGCAUUGCGAGGGGGAAGGAGCUGACUCUGACGGUUCCCAGUGUGUCUCUGGUGGGGGUGGGGGGCUUCAGCCUGAGGGGAUGUUUCACACAUUCACACUGCAGGGGCGGGGCGAGGGGAGCUGCUCUCCCUCUCACACAGCUCUACUGUCAAACAUCAUGGCACCAGUCACCACAACCUUGUCACGUGCACUAGAAGGGGAGGGGUCCGUGCCUGAGCCCUUGGCAGCAGGCGGUCCCUGGCGUUCUGCGGGGCCAUGGUGGACACGCCAGGAGAUCUGCACCCCGUGGGCGGUCCCAGCCCACACAUGGGGAAGCCGAGAGGACGGAGCCCGCGCCUCCCUCCACAUCUACGCGUCUAGCAGAACACAGGGAGCAGGGCCAGGAGCGGGACGAGGGCGCCCAGGAGGGGCCGGGGGGCCAGGGGCAGCCCCGCAGCCGCCCUGCCUGGCAGGUCCCGAGUCCUCUCAUACAGGUGCAGUUUGUCUUUGUUGGAGUGGAGCAUCUUGACAUCCUCCAACGCGUAGUAGGCGGCCAGUGUGAAGUUCACGUCGCCCGUGGUGAGGAGGUCGAAGACGCAGGCCUGGUAGUACAGGUCCUCCACCGGCAGCUUCUCCUUGCACUUGGCCACGGCUGUCUCGUAUGGGAAGGUCUCGGGGGCUGUGGGUGCAGGGCUGGCGGCUGCCAGCCUGCGGGCACCGGUGCCCUCAGCAUUGGUGUGGAAGGCCUGGAAGUCGAUCUGCUGGUUGAGGGGGCAGCCCCGCAGGCAGAGGUAGAGACCCUGGCUGUCCCAGUCCUCCACAGCAUUGACCACUUCCUCUGGCAUGCGGACGGCAAAGGUCAGGUAGCGGCCCACCUGGCGCACCACGAUGGUGGUGCCGAUGUACUUGGCCUGGAUCUCCACGUGCUGGCCUGACACCUUCUCAGUGAUCUUCAGGCUGUUGGCCCCGUGCUUGUCCCCACCGUUCUUAGAGCCAUCCACGAAGGCGGCCGGGAGCUCGUCCAUCUCAGCCUGGUACACCUUCUGGUCCACACACUCCUGGAAGUUCUUGAAGAUGAUGGUGAGCUGCCGGGGAAAGGGGCAGAGGAGAGUGGGUGAGGCACAGUGGGAGGAGGCACAGCCCCACACUUAAGAUGCUCUAGACUGAGAGGAGGGCAGGAAGGAUCCCCAGGGAUGCCCCAGACACUCCCUUCUCCAGGUUGGACAGAUCAGUUCCACCUGCGCAGCUGUGCACUUCACAUUCUUUCAAUGAAAACAACUUGCCCUUUUUACUUUAAAAAGUGACUUAGAAAAAUGUUAGACCACUACCCUAAGUAGAAAACUAGCUCUUUUACUAUAUAGGGAAGUGAACCAGAAAAAUAAAAGCAUAGAUAAUUAAAAAUAAAAGGUCAAAAGCCCAGUGUGGUAGGCUGAAUAAUGGCUCCCAAGAAGAACAUGCCCUAAUCCCUGUAACUUGGGAAUGUUCCCUUAGAUGGCAAAAGGGACCCUGCAGAUAUGAUUAGGUUAAGAACACUGAGAUGAAGAGAUUAUUCUGGAUUACCUGGGUGGGCCCUAGAUGGAAUCACAAGUAUCUUUAUAAGAAGGAGGCAGAGGGAGAUUUGACUAACUAGGACAGAGGAGAAGGUGAUGUGCUCAACAAGGCAGAGAUUCGAAUGAUGUGGCCACAAACCAAGGGAUGCUGGCAACCACCAAAAGCUGGAAAUGGCAAUGAAUGGAUUCUCCCCUGGAGUCUCCAGGACCAGCCCUGCUGAUACCUUGAUUUUAUCCCCACGAGACAUAUUCCCAACUUCCGGCCUCCACAAUUAUAAAACAUUUCUGUUGGUUUGAACCACUCAGUUUAUGCUAAUUUGCUACAGUGGCGAUAGGAAAUGAAUAUGGUUUGCAAACAUCAUCUUGCAUAAUGACAGUGGUACUGGAGCACAAUUCCUGACAAAGGACCCAAGCAAAUGUCUGAACAUUACAGCAGGUGGAAUGGAGGGAAAUGAUGCUCAAAGAAAGAAUGAAUAGGGCAAAAUCCAUGCAAGCAGGCAGAGGCAAGCAGAAGCCACUGUCCCAAGGCUGCUGAAAGGGGUCCCCAAGCUGGGUCAUGGAGGAGGGGAACAGGAAAGGAGCAAGGUGCUGGUCGGUAAAAGGGAGAUGGAGGUUCCAGGCUGAACGGGCAGCCUUGGCCGGGGCUGGAGCAGGGAGGCUCCUUUCUGCUGGAGCCUGUGGCCAGGGGUGAGGGGCUGGACUGAGCUGCUGGAGCAGCAGCUGGCUGGGUGGCACUGUUCUCCUGAGAGCCAGACACAGAGGCAUUGGCUGCAUACAGCAUGCUAAGCACUGCAUGUAUUACUUCCAGUCUCGUGUGACACUGCAAGGGUCGGUGACAUUACUCUCAAUUUUCCGGAUGAGAAAAUGUAGGCUCAGAGAGAGGCAGUAACUUGCCUAAGGUCACACAGCCAGCAAGAGGCAGAGCUGGGAUUAGACUCUGCGUUUCCAGACUCUGGGCUCUCUUGGCCACAAGCCCAUAGGGUGGGAGGCCUGAGAGGAGGAGGGCCGGUGGCCAGGGGAGCAGGUGAGUUUCCUCUGCCGUCCGCGUCCUGGGUGGCGUCUGGCUGUUCUUUCCUCCCUAACCCUAAGCAGGUUUCUGGGUUGGAAACAGAGAAACUGGGAGAGAAAAAACCACCCCUUCUUCCACUCCUUUCCCAGGUGUCAGCUGUUUUGCCAUGGGAGCUCUGGGUGCCUUGGUCCCCCUGGACCAAGGGCAGCUGGAACCUGGACUCCCAGCCUGAAGCCACGAAGGGAGGUGGGGCAAAGGGGACAAGGUGGCACCCAGGCCUUUUGGGACCUCCUGCUAAAAUCCCACCUUUAUCUGCUGCACUACCCUCUCCCAGGCCCGGCAACUACCCCCACCACUAAGCCCCAACCCCUCACCCCUCUGUAGGUCAGGGCUCAUCCCUCCCCACCCAGGAGAGGGUGUGGCCAGCUAGCUGGCUGGCUGACAGAGCUCCCAGGGGAUCCCACCCCAACCUGGCCUCAGAGGGUCUGCAGGCUGAAGGGGUCUGAGCAAGGGGGAGCUGCUGAUGACAUGCACAGCCGUUCUCUGCCUGGGCACUUGGGGGAGGCAUGAGGACUGCCUGCCGGCUCUCUGGGUAGAGGGCAAUGCCGCCGCGUGCCAAGGGAGUUUCUGGCCUAACAGCAGAUGUGUGGCGAGGGCACAGUGCGAGGUGCUAGAAAGCAACAGGAAAUAACAAGCUGCUCUGAUGGGGAAGGGCAGGCAGGGAAACCACAGAAGGACCUCAGCUCAGGCAGGAGAGUCGCAGGAAGGUGGAAGGUGGGGUCUGGCCAGGAAUGCAGCAUGAGGCCAUCCUGUUCUCUGGGGCCCGGAGGCCAGGGGUGCAGCAGAGUGGCCUGUUUGGGGCGGGCUGGCCCAGGGUCAUGGCCUCAGGACCAGGUGCUAAGAGGCCUGAGGCCUGGAAAGGGGUUCCAGAACCUUCUAGGUAAUACAAGCCAGUGGGGUAUUCAGAGCCACUAGAGGUGCCCCUGGCCGUGUUGCUGUGGCUUUGUGGGUUCCCCAUAUUGGCAUAAGAUUUCGGGAUGAUGAGGUGGGGAGAACUGGUAGCCUGAGGGGUGUGGAACCCCCGGAAGAACAGAGGGAGACCCUAGGCCAAGGCUUCUGAAGAAGGAAAAUGUGUUAGUCAGGCAAGGCUGGGAGGAGCUGAACGAGGGGCAGGCUGCUGGAGGACUUUACAAGAAAUGGCGGUCUUCUCAUGAGCCCGUUCAUCUUGGGCACCCGGCGCUGUGCUUUCUGUGCCUGAUGGAGGCUGCGGAGGGUCGGGGCUCUGCGGGAGUCCAUGCAGCAGCACCAGGAGGACCCCAAGCGCACAGUUCCUUGAGGACCGGACUCGAUUUCCUCGCAUCCCUUCCUACAGGGGUCCCAGCCUGGCCGCAGGACACGGCACACUUCCCAUUUGCCGUGGGAUGUCAAAGGUGGCUGCGGCUGCAGCCUCUCCAUCCAGCAUGGAGCCCUAAGCCUCGAACCUGAUGAGAUUGCUGCUACUCUACCAUUCCUGACCUAUGGAAACGGCAACUUCAUACGGUUCAGCCUCCUACUUCUUCCUUCUUUCCACCCACUGGCCAGCCCACCUCGGUGGGGAGGCCGCCUGGGGGUGCCGGAGGUGGGCCAGCCAGGGUGGUCUGGGCCGUGGGUGGUCCUGCCAUGGGGGGAGGAUGGGGGACUCUGGUGUCCCUGCCUGGUGUGCAGGGCCACACAGACACUGGGGGUGGGGGGGGGCGGCGUCCUGCUUUCCAAGUGCCAUCAGUCUCCCUGGAACAGGAAAGGCUGGUUUCGCUCUAACCACCAUCUCUCGCAGAGACAGCCUCCUGGAAGGCUGACAGGCUGCUUGACUCUUCUUGGCACCGGUGCCAGGGACUCAACCGCAAGUAACAGCAUGAAGGGGGCCUGUCGAAAGCUGGCGGCUCGCUGCCAACACAGCCACGGGCGGGCUGCCGCUCCUGUCUCUGCUGCUCCCCCUUCUGAAGGGGUCCUGGCCCUUUCCACUGCACCGGGCACGAGGCAGAGCCCAGGCUGCAUCAGCUACUAUCUACGGAGCACCACCUCCAUGCCAGGCCUGGUGCUGGGGGCUCGGGGUACACGAGGGAGAAGAUCCCUAUGCUUCAGGGGGUCGCAGACUAAGCAAAUGAAUCAUGCAGAGGGACAGGCUGGCAAGUGCUAUGGGGAAAACUAACCAGCGGGGAAAGGAAGGGGAAGGCGCAGGACUUGAGUUCCUGUCCUCUCCUGAGUCUCAGUUUCUUUGUCUGUAAAAUGGGUAUCAGCAGCACAGAUGGGAAGAGGGUGAUGGAGCAGGAGGCUGGGCACAGAAGGCUGUCCCACGGGGGUAAGACACUGGCUAAAAUGUCCACGUAGAAAACACUAGAUCUUGAUCGUCCACAAGAACAGAGGGAUUGGCUGAUUGGCUGAUACUGCCAGUAUCAUGAGAAACAAAUAAAGGCCCCUAGUGAUGCCCGGGUGUUUGGGGGCAGCUUCAUGCACACACAGCUUGCACACGGAGCUUCUGCACAGGAAGGCAAAUCUCAUAGCUGCAAGGUCAGGGUCAGGCCAGGCAGGGGCUGGACACACUCUGGGAAGCCUGAGGAGAGGCCCUCAAGGGCAGGUGUGCAGGGACAGAUGGAGUCUCUGGCUGCCUGAGAGGGGAAAGGGGAGUGGGUUCCAGUGGGUGGUAGAGUCUGGCAGGCCCAGAGGGCUCUGUUGGUGGUAGUCGAGGUGGUCACAGAAACCCAGAGGCCUCAUCAUCUUGGAGAUGAAAGUCCCUUGCCUUUCCCUGCUCCCUGCAGACACCAGGCUGCUCUCCCACUCCGCCUGCUUUGGAUGUCGACUCCUCUGUUCCUCCAUCCGGAAACUUGCGCUGUGCUUCAGGGGCGAGCUUGGUGGAUGGGCUCCCCAGUUCUCUGGACAGAGCCAAGGCUCCCAAUGGCCUUCAACAUCCUGCUGCCCCAGCCUCCAUCGCCAGCUCCCCUUUGCUGGUCUUUGCUCUUCACUAGCCUGGGAGCUUCUGGGAGGGAGGGCAACAACUAGCUCAGAGGCUGGCACAGAUGCAACGUCUGUUAAGUGUUUGCUCCAUCAAUGAGUGAACAAACACACCUGAGUAACGGAGGCCUGACAGACAGGCGGGGGCAGGCCAAAGGUGCCUGAAGCCAGCCACCGACGUUCUCACCGGGGGACCACAAUACCCCAGUCUGGCCCGAGUUCUGAGACUGACUUGGCCACAGACACUGACGCUGUCACUGUCUGGCCUCCAGCAGAGCCUGGUUGACAGGGCUGAGCUCUCAGCCUGCUGAGAUCAAAGGUGGCCUUCGGUUGCAGCAGAAAUGGGCUGGGUUGGUGAAGCUCUGCUUCAUACUCUUCUGGAAGCCUCCAUGCUGGGAUAGGAAGGGAAGUUCUCCCUCCACUGCUCCACCCCGUCACAUCACCCCCAUCCAUAAUGGGGGCAGCAGCCCAGCCUCCCUGCACACAAAUCACAAAUCCUCCCCGGUGCGUGGCUUGGCUCUGUUGUCGCAUUUGGUGCUUCCACCCCCUGGGGUCUGGAGGAGCGAGCCACCUGGGGUCCACAUCCCUCUCACAUCCUCAGACCUCCCUGUGCGCCCUGCCAGCCCUUGGGAACCUGCAGGAUGGGACAGGGAGGCCAGGUCCCCUCUGAAGCGUGCUGGUGCCUGGAUUUAGAAGCUGCAGCCUCAGGCUCCUGGCGUCCGUCUGUCUUGGCUCUCAGGAGGGCGGGUGGUGGGGAGGUGCAGGGGCCGUGGGGGAGGUGGCUGGGUCCUUGAUGCAGGCAGGCCCUGAGUAUGCGGAGGGCUGCGGGGGCACAGGGUGGAGUGUACCGGCUGCAAGUCUUCUCCAUUAGGUGUCAUGUUGUGGUGCCAAGGGCCCGCUUGGGAAUCCACAGGGCGAAGACCUGCUUAUUUCCCGCCCAGCCAGGGACCAGAAAGUGACCCCCUGCAGGCAGGCAAGGGCCACCGGAGCAGAGGGAAGUGGCAGGGAUGGAGCAUUUCCUUGGCUGCCAGGUCACCUCGCUGUCCUCCUCUGGGUGUGGAGGGGUGGGAAGGAACAGAAACGCCCUUGUGGUAAAUCUGGCACUGCCCGACACACGGCCUUCCAACUGGCUCUUCCUAGGAAAACAGACCCACUGCCAUUUCGCCAAGCUGGAAACCCCAGGGGGCACCGGUGGGCCGGGCACUGGGGAGGGUGGACGUGUCCCCAUCGCCUGAACUGGGAGCCACCAGCUUCCUUCCUGGCCUCGAGGCCUUGCCCUCUGGCUAAGUCCGAUUCAGGACAUCCUCCCCAAAAGCAGGUAGGGGAGGGAGGCCUGGGGUAGACAGGAGUGUCCACUUGCGUGGGUCCAUGGCUGUGUGUGUGGCUGCGGCCCCAUGAGCAGGACCUGAGUCCUGCUGCCCACUUGCUGAGGCCUCCUUGGGUUUGAAAACCAGCAGCCCGCAGUGGCCUCGUGGGGCCGCUCAGAAUAUGCCAGGUUCUGGAGUCACCCGGGCCUGGGGCAAAUUCUAGCUCAGCAUUCCAGCUGACUACGCACUUGGGGUGGGAAGGUCACUUGGCCUCUUAGAGCAUCAGGCUCCCCAUUUGUGAAGUGGAGCUAUGCCUGCCAGGCCGGGCUGGCUCGAGGAAGGAGGGAGGAAGCUGAGACCCACCCCCUUGGGAUGCUCAGGGAGGGUGCUCCUGUGUCCCCGCUCCGCUCCGUCUUCCCCCAUUCCCAGGCACCCGAGGCCCUCUCAGCCUCUCAGUGUCCACGCAGGGCAGAGACAAAGGGCAGGGCUGUGCCCUACAGCCGCCCCCUCCCCCUUACCUUGCUGGUGGCAGUGGCCGCUGAGCCGGGCAGCACAGGCGUGUUGGUGACCUGCACGUUCAGGUAAUUAUUGUCGAUGAGCGGCCAGGCGCCCUGCACCUUGCAGGUCUGGAAGCGGUCGGUGAAAGUCCUGAGGUGUGGGUCCCCGAAGAGGCCACAGUGCGUGUAGUUGGGGGUGGCCGAGUGCUUGUGAAAGCUCUUCUCGUAAUGGCAGAUCUCGGGGCUGUCCGAGCGCUCCUGGCUGUCUCCGGCCGGUGGGAGCGUGCGCAGGCGUGGCUGCGAGGUGGGGCCAUCCUUGGAGCAGUUGUGCUGGCUCAUGAGGUCCUCUAUGCCAUGGACGGCCGAGUGGUAGGCCAGGUCACCCCGGCAGGUGCGGGCCGUCCGCCGCGUGCACAGGGCGUAGCUGCGCAAGGCUGCACAGAACUCGGGGGUGUCGUCUGAGGCUGGGGCGUGGCUGCCCGACGUGGCGCUCCAGAACUCAGAGUUGCACUUGAGGAUCUUGCACGGGGAGGUGGCUGAGGAGAAAGGAACGAACACACCGUCGGGGUGCAGCCUGGCAACCCCAGCUUCUGCUACCAUCUGUGGGCCAGGGGAGCAGCCACACAUCGCCUCAUCUAGGGCAGAGCCACCCAUGCCACACACAGAUGGUGAAAAAUUUCCUGCAGGUGGUAGGAAAGGGGUCCUUCUACCCAGCCUAUGGCGACCCCAAGUGGACAAGCAUGCACACCAGCAGGCUGAAAGGGCUAGUGGGGAUCCUCCCACAGCGCCAGCCUGCUAGGGAGUGGUCACUGUUUGGGGGCAGUAGGACUUUGGGAGCUGACAGGCCACCCUGGGGCCGCUGACAUCUAUAUACACUUUCAUGGCCAUCCCCAAGAAUUUUGGCUAAAGCAACAGGAAUCUGGCAGGGAAUUGGCCCCACUAUUAAAUGUGUCCCCAGUCCUGGCAUUGUAUGACCUUAUACAAAUGGCCUCCCGUCUCUGUGCCUUGUUAUACUCAUCUGGAAGAUGGGAUGAUGAGUGUGAAGUGAUUUAUCACGUAUAAAGGACUUAGUCUGGCCCCAGCAUUCACGGCCAAAACUCAAUGAACGUCGCCUGGUAUGAGUGCUCUGUUAGCCCUGGCCAUAGAGGAACUGGCUUCCCUUAUGCUGACCAUAGCCCCAUCCUCUGUCCUGCUCAGAGAAGCAAGCUGAGAAGCAACUGAGAGUAGUAACCUUGGAUCCCUCACAAGCUUUGAGACUUUAGUGACAAUUAGCCAAAAUGACCGUGCCCCAGAACUAUGGCUUUAACACACCUUAUCUUCUCAACACACAGAACCUGCCCUUUUCUGGCCUUCCUCUGCACAGCCCAUAGUGACCACAACUGGCCAGGCACACAGACCUGCAGCAGGACAGAAGUUCCUACAUGGGUUCCAGGAGAAAGGGGCCAGGACACCAGCUGGGAGGUCCAGCCUCUGGGGUCACAGCCCAGUCCUGGCCUGGGUGGUCUCCAGCGGGGAAAGGGAGCCUCAGCACUCUUGUCUGGGCCACUAACUUGGCUUGUGACCUUGGAAAGGUCAGUUUGUGUCUCUGGUGCUGGUUUUACCUAUAAAAUUGAGUUGCACAUAAAACCAAGAACAGACACAUUUGAGGGCAGGCUAACGCGAGCACGAGUGCCUACCUAUCCCAGCAGCCUUGUGUGAACCCAGCCUGCAUUGUGCAGCCCUGGACCUGGGUGAUCUCUCCCGCCUCUGCAGGUGGGUGGGCACCAUCCUACUGGAGCACAAGUCACCUUCCCAGAUCACAGACUUGAGCACGGGCGAGUCAGUGCUCAUCUGAAAUUUGGGCUCCCCCCUUCACGUGACCCGUUUGCCAUACUGCCAGUAACAAGGUAAUUUCAGGUGAUACCUAAGUGAACACUUUGUCUUUUAAUUUGAGAAGUCAUAUCUUUAUUUAAAUGUGCAUUAAGAAAAAAAAAUUGCUGGGUAUGGCAGCUCACGCCUGUAAUCCCAGCACUUUUUGGGAGGCCGAGGCAGGCAGAUCAUGUGAGGUCUGGAGCUCGAGACCAGCCUGGCCAACAUGAUGAAACCCCUUCUCUACCAAAAAUACAAAAAUUAGCUGGGCAUGGUGGUGCGCACCUGUAAUCCCAGCUACUCGGGAGGCUGUGGCACGAGAACUGC
rnacentral:lncRNA from 1 species